AACCAACAGGGAUUGCCUCAGUAACGGCGAGUGAAGCGGCAAAAGCUCAAAUUUUAAAGCUGGCAUCUUCGGUGUCCGCGUUGUAAUUUUGUGAGGCAUCUCCGGGUAGGGCGCCGGCCUAAGUUCCUUGGAACAGGACGUCACAGAGGGUGAGAAUCCCGUGCUUGGCUGGCUGUCCCCGUCCAUGUGAGGUGUCUUCGACGAGUCGAGUUGUUUGGGAAUGCAGCUCAAAAUGGGUGGUAAAUUUCAUCUAAAGCUAAAUAUUGGUGGGAGACCGAUAGCGCACAAGUAGAGUGAUCGAAAGAUGAAAAGCACUUUGAAAAUAGAGUUAAAAAGUACGUGAAAUUGUUGAAAGGGAAGCGCUUGAGAUCAGACUUCGGUAGGGGGUGAUCAGCCGUCCUUCUGGGCGGUGCACUUGCCCCUCUCCGGGCCAGCAUCGGUUGAGGCGGCGGGAUAAAGGUCCCGGGAAUGUGGCUCCCUCGCGGGAGUGUUAUAGCCCGGGUGAAUGCCGCCAGUCUCGACCGAGGACCGCACCCGCAAGGGUUAGGAUGCUUGGCAUAAUGGUCUUCAGCGA
rnacentral:rRNA from 1 species